rnacentral:rRNA from 1 species
UACGGAGGAUCCGAGCGUUAUCCGGAUUUAUUGGGUUUAAAGGGUACGUAGGCGGGAUGAUAAGUCAGCGGUGAAAUUUUGCAGCUUAACUGUAAGCUUGCCGUUGAAACUAUUAUUCUUGAGUGUAGAUAAGGUAGGCGGAAUGUGUUGUGUAGCGGUGAAAUGCUUAGAUAUAACACAGAACACCAAUUGCGAAGGCAGCUUACCGGGUUACCACUGACGCUGAGGUACGACAGCGUGGGGAUCAAACAGGAUUAGAUACCCUGGUAGUCCACGCCGUAAACGAUGAAUACUCGCUGUUUGCGAUAUAGUGCAAGCGGCCAAGCGAAAGCAUUAAGUAUUCCACCUGGGGAGUACGUUCGCAAGAAUGAAACUCAAAGGAAUUGACGGGGGCCCGCACAAGCGGAGGAACAUGUGGUUUAAUUCGAUGAUACGCGAGGAACCUUACCCGGGCUUGAAAUGCAAUCGACUGACUUGGAAACAGGUCAUCCAGCAAUGGCGAUUGUGUAGGUGCUGCAUGGUU